UUUCCGUAGGUGAACCUGCGGGAGGAUCAUUACUGAGUUAGGGUCUUUAUGGCCCGACCUCCAACCCUUUGUUUAAUCUACCAUGUUGCUUUGGCAGGCCCGCUUAGAAAUGGGCCGCCGGAGACCUUUGAGUCUCUGGUCAGUGCCUGCCAGUAGCCUUUCUAAAUUCAUUUAUAACCGUGUCUGAAUAUACAAAGAAAAAUUAAAAUAAAACUUUCAACAACGGAUCUCUUGGUUCUG
rnacentral:misc_RNA from 1 species